UUAAACUGAAGAGUUUGAUCAUGGCUCAGAUUGAACGCUGGCGGCAGGCUUAACACAUGCAAGUCGAGCGGGGAAGAGUAGCUUGCUACUUUACCUAGCGGCGGACGGGUGAGUAAUGCUUAGGAAUCUGCCUAUUAGUGGGGGACAACAUCUCGAAAGGGAUGCUAAUA
rnacentral:rRNA from 1 species